UUUCACUUUGUAGUUCAACUUUUUGCAGUGUUUUAGGAACUCUGCUAAAAAACAAGCUUAUUCCUGAUCCUUUCUAUGGGUUGGAAAAUGAAGCAAUUAUUGACAUUGCGGAUUCAGGGAGGGAACACUACACUUUCUGGUUUUUCACUACCUUUGAAUGUAAGCUGUCGAAUAAUCAACACGUGGAUCUUAAUUUUCGGGCAAUUAACUAUUCUGCUGAAGUCUAUCUGAAUGGGCACAAGGAGGUGCUUCCAAAAGGAAUGUUUAGGAGGCAUUCUAUUGAUAUUACUGACAUUUUGCAUCCGGAUGGUCAGAAUCUGCUGGCUGUGCUUGUCUAUCCUCCUGAUCAUCCAGGGCGUAUUCCUCCUAAGGGUGGUCAAGGUGGUGAUCAUGAGAUUGGGAAAGAUGUUGCUGCACAAUAUGUCGAAGGUUGGGAUUGGAUGACUCCAAUAAGGGAUAGGAACACUGGCAUCUGGGAUGAGGUAUCCAUUACUGUGACAGGGCCAGUGAAACUAGUAGAUCCCCACUUGGCGUCAUCUUUUUUUGACGGCUACAAGAGGGUAUAUUUGCAUUCUACGGUCGAGUUGGUCAACAGAAAUGCCUUGGUAGCUGAAUGCUCGCUGAACAUCCAAGUGUCAACUGAACUUGAAGAUGGUACUUUCUUAGUUGAGCAUCUUGAGACACAGCAUGUGUCUAUUUCUGCGGGUGCAAACAUUCAUUAUACAUUUCCUCAACUUUAUUUAUAUAAACCCAAUUUAUGGUGGCCUAAUGGCAUGGGUAAGCAACAUCUGUACAAUGUCGAGAUAACUGUUAAUGUGAAAGGUUAUGGAGAAUCGGAUACAUGGAGUCAUCAUUUUGGCUUUCGCAAAAUUGAGAGUCAUAUAGAUAGUGCCACAGGUGGAAGGCUUUUUAAGGUAAAUGGUCAGCCAAUAUUCAUUCGUGGGGGCAAUUGGAUCCUCUCAGAUGGAUUAUUGCGGCUUUCAAAGGAAAGAUACAAGACGGAUAUCAGAUUCCAUGCUGAUAUGAACUUCAACAUGAUGCGUUGUUGGGGUGGGGGACUGGCUGAGAGACCUGAGUUUUAUUAUUAUUGUGACUUGUAUGGUUUACUGGUUUGGCAAGAGUUCUGGAUUACCGGGGACUGUGAUGGACGAGGUGACCCUGUGUCAAACCCAGAUGGCCCACUUGACCAUGAUCUUUUCUUGCUAUGUGCAAGAGAUACAAUUAAGCUUUUGAGGAACCAUCCUAGUCUUGCCUUGUGGGUUGGGGGAAAUGAACAAGUUCCACCACCUGACAUCAAUGCUGCUUUGAAGAAUGAUCUACAACUCCAUCCAUAUUAUAUGAAUUUAAAUAACAAUGGCACAUCAACAAUUACUCCCCUGAUAAAGGAUCCAAGUCAAUAUCUAGAUGGUACUAGAGUUUAUGUUCAAGGAUCUAUGUGGGAUGGAUUUGCAGAUGGGAAAGGGGAGUUCACCGAUGGUCCUUACGAAAUUCAG
rnacentral:misc_RNA from 1 species